AUCUAUAUAUAUUUUUACUAUUGUUUUACUUUUUCUUAUAAGUGUUAAUUGGGCUCUGCCUGCAUGUAAAAUAAAUAAAUAUACACGUUACUGUUGGAAACAGGGUUAAACUAUGUGUUUGCAGCCAUAUGACUUAGUUUCAGGUUUCUUAUGAGCCAAAAAGUUUCGGAGUUGACACUGGGUGUUGGUCUGCGAGUGGCGCACUGCUGGAAUGAGUUUGGGUAGUUCAACAAGCCUGUGAGUGAAGGACCCAAUAAGUGACUGAGUGCUGAUUCAGCAGAAAGUUUCAAUCUAUCCAGAAUAGUGGGACACAAAUAGGGGCUUAACUAUUUCAAAUUAUACACUUUUUUAUACUCUGAA